rnacentral:rRNA from 1 species
AGGUCAUUGCUAUCGGGGUCCGAUUUAGCCAUGCUAGUCGUGCGAGUUUAGACUCGCGGCGUAUAGCUCAGUAACACGUGGCCAAACUACCCUACAGACAGGAACAACCUCGGGAAACUGAGGCUAACACCUGAUACGCGUUGGCUGUUUGAAGACCGACGCUCAAACGCUCCGGCGCUGUAGGAUGUGGCUGCGGCCGAUU